UAUGUGUAGGUGUUUAGUGCAUAAAAAGUUUUGAUCUUUUAGGGGCUGGUGUAAUUCUAGCACAUAUAG
rnacentral:tRNA from 1 species